CCACAGGAAGCUGUCUGCACCAUGGCCUGGACCCCUCUCCUCCUCAUGCUCCUCUCCCACUGCACAGGUUCCCUCUCGCAGCCUGUGCUGACCCAGCCGCCCUCCCUCUCUGUGUCUCCGGGAGCCACAGCCAGACUCACCUGCACCCUCAGCAGUGGCUUCAGUGUUGGUGAUUACAGGAUACGCUGGUACCAGCAGAAGCCAGGGAGCUCUCCCCGGUAUCUGUUGAACUACUACUCAGACACAGACAAGCACCAGGGCUCCGGGGUCCCCAGCCGCUUCUCUGGGUCCAAAGACGCCUCGGCGAACGCAGGGCUCCUGACCAUCUCUGGGCUGCAGCCUGAGGACGAGGCCGACUAUUACUGUGGUACGUGGCACGGCAGCAGCAAUGCUUACACAGUGCUGCAGAGUCACGGAGAAGUGAGACUGAAACCCCCCUGUGCUCUGUCUGCCGGGGGCUGA